rnacentral:lncRNA from 1 species
ACCCCGGGCCCCCAAAGCUGAGCACACAAACCUAACCACUGGGCCACUGGGCCACCCCGAAGCAGUGUUAAUGAGGGAGAGUUUGGUACUCUGUCUUUUAUGACGUUCCUGCUACUGAAAGGAUUCCAGAAGGGCUUGGUAUUUAUGACCCAACCAUUAUGACCCAACCAGCGCCAUUUUGUCAUUUUAAGAUAUACUCCAGUCCUCAGAACACCCUACAGUGGCCAUUCCCACCGAAGCACACGUGGAGAUGUCCUAUCACUUGUGUGGCAAUGUGUUUGUCUGGGAUGGCGACAUGCAUUUUUCAGUUUCCUGAAAUACUCGUUUGUCAAUCUUCAGCUUUUGAACUAUUUUGCCUACAGAAAGACCCCGCUGCAGUGCCCCCUGCUGAGACGCUCAAGGCAAGAGGACCCACAGCCAGCAAGACUGAAACAAAAAGCAAAGGAGGUGCCCGUUCUGGAGGCGCGGCGUCUGGACGAACUAAUUGAGUUGUGGCGGUCCCCAAAAUGAAAAGAAUUUUUGUUAGAUUAUUGCUAUUCCUUAGCACCCACUAUAUGCCGGAUACAUACCACAGGAGGCCAGUUCAUAGCUUUGUCUCAUUUAAUCCUCUGAACAACUCUUCAAGGUAAGAGAUUACUUCUACUUUUUCCAGCUAAGGAAACAGAAACUUAAGGGUGUAACUAAGGUGUCGUGGGCAGAAACUGG